rnacentral:piRNA from 1 species
GAGAUACAUGUCACUGUUGGAGCC